rnacentral:rRNA from 1 species
GACGAACGCUGGCGGCGCGCCUAAUACAUGCAAGUCGAGCGGACUUUCAAGAAGCUUGCUUUUUGAAAGUUAGCGGCGGACGGGUGAGUAACACGUGGUCAACCUGCCCUUAAGACGGGGAUAACUCCGGGAAACCCGGGCUAAUACCGCAUAAUAUCAUUCCGCGCAUGAAGGAAGGUUGAAAGGCGGCGCACACUGCCGCUUGCAGAUGGGCCCGCGGCGCAUUAGCUAGUUGGGGAGGUAACGGCUCACCAAGGCGACGAUGCGUAGCCGAACUGAGAGGGUGAUCGGCCACAAUGGGACUGAGAAACGGGCCAGACUCAUAGGGGAGGGAGCAAUAGGGAAUCUUCCGCAAUGGACGAAAGUCUGACGGAGCAACGCCGCGUGAGGGAAGAAGGUCUUCGGAUCGUAAAGCUCUGUUGUCAGGGAAGAACAAGUACCGUUCGAAAAGGGCGGUACCUUGACGGUACCUGACCAGAAAGCCACGGCUAACUACGUGCCAGCAGCCGCCGUAA